rnacentral:rRNA from 1 species
UGGGGAAUAUUGCACAAUGGGCGGAAGCCUGAUGCAGCAACGCCGCGUGAGGGAUGACGGCCUUCGGGUUGUAAACCUCUUUUAGCAGGGAAGAAGCGAGAGUGACGGUACCUGCAGAAAAAGCGCCGGCUAACUACGUGCCAGCAGCCGCGGUAAUACGUAGGGCGCAAGCGUUAUCCGGAAUUAUUGGGCGUAAAGAGCUCGUAGGCGGUUUGUCGCGUCUGCUGUGAAAUCCCGAGGCUCAACCUCGGGCCUGCAGUGGGUACGGGCAGACUAGAGUGCGGUAGGGAGAUUGGAAUUCCUGGUGUAGCGGUGGAAUGCGCAGAUAUCAGGAGGAACACCGAUGGCGAAGGCAGAUCUCUGGGCCGUAACUGACGCUGAGGAGCGAAAGGGUGGGGAGCAAACAGGCUUAGAUACCCUGGUAGUCCACCCCGUAAACGUUGGGAACUAGUUGUGGGGACCAUUCCACGGUUUCCGUGACGCAGCUAACGCAUUAAGUUCCCCGCCUGGGGAGUACGGCCGCAAGGCUAAAACUU